UAAUAACUGGGGUAGGAAAGUGGGGAUGACGUCAAAUCAUCAUGCCCCUUAUGACCUGGGCUACACACGUGCUACAAUGGACGGUACAACGAGUCGCGAAGUCGUGAGGCUAAGCUAAUCUCUUAAAGCCGUUCUCAGUUCGGAUUGUAGGCUGCAACUCGCCUACAUGAAGUUGGAAUCGCUAGUAAUCGCGGAUCAGCAUGCCGCGGUGAAUACGUUCCCGGGCCUUGUACACACCGCCCGUCACACCAUGAGAGUUUGUAACACCCAAAGCCGGUGAGAUAACCUUCGGGAGUCAGCCGUCUAAGGUGGGAGCAGAUGAUUAGGGUGAAGACGACGUAGAUGAGGUUGUGAAGUA
rnacentral:rRNA from 2 species